ACUGUGUAGAAUAGAAGCAGAUGAGGCAUGAAAAAUAUGGAUUGAAGCAAACAGAAUGAAUAUAAAUUAUGAAGGGAAAAGAAAUGGUCUCUGAAGAAGCUAAAUAUGUCAUGAUCCUGGGUGUUUGACUUUUGCUGUUCUUUGUCCUUAAUUAAGAGCUUUCUUUCCCCCCCCUUGUAUUCCUGUAAUUAUGUUUUGGGUAAUAUGAGGAGUUUCUAGUCCUCGAGUUUCAGUCAGUCUAUUUUUCUACUAGCAUUCAAUUUGGCGUGUGUUUGGUUUUUUGACUUUGUGUCAUUAGUUUGAUUCUGUUCACCUGUGUUUUGUUUUCCUCCGCUGUUUCCUCUCUCCCGACUUAACUCGUGUGUAUUUAAGCCUUCAGUUUUCCUUAGUCUUUGUCAUGUCCUUCCUCAAACUCAGUGUGCUCUUGCUUUGUGGCUGAGGUUUUGUAUUUCUGGCUCCAGCCCUGCCUGCUUUCUGUUUUUUAAACGAGACGUCAGUGUUAAACCUGCUUUUCUGAGUUCUGUCUCCAGAGUCCUGUAGUUGUGUCUUCCUCUGUCUGUCACACCACCAUUCUGUGACUUGGUUAGGCAACUAUUUAAUACUAAAACAAAAGCAAUUACAUUUUAGAUAUAAGCUUUUUCAAAUAUGUUCCUACUUGUUUCUACUACUAUGUCGAUUCUUCCUGGGCCUGUCAGCUGGUAUUUUCUUCAUUUAACUGGCUGCUCUGUCAGCCAGCGCUGCCUUCUUCAUCAGGAUGGGGAACUUCACAGACUGGAAUAUCAUAAAGGAGACUUCACUACUGGCUGACUAGAAGACCAGCAUGCCCUGAGCAUCACAUGAGGCAAACUGGCUGCUGUGUGUCCAGCCUGGGUAUUUCUGGUCCCUGUACAUCUGUAGAGAGGCCUUGGUUUCCAAUGUCAGCAGUAAGUCAGAAUGUGCACACAGGGCUGUCUUUAGUCAGAGAUGCUGUUCAUAAUAUUUAUGGAUAGAAUAAGUGUGCUUGAGUCUCCGCUCUUUUGCAGAUGAUGUGGUUCUGUUGGCUUCAUCAAGCGAUGUCCUCAGGCAUGCACUGAGGUGGUUUGCAGCUGUGUGUGAAGCAGAAUGAGAAUCAGCACCUGAAACUCUGAGACCGCUGGAAAAGGGUGAAGUGCAG
rnacentral:lncRNA from 1 species